AUUGAACGCUGGCGGCAGGCUUAACACAUGCAAGUCGAACGAUGAUUAUCUAGCUUGCUAGAUAUGAUUAGUGGCGGACGGGUGAGUAACAUUUAGGAAUCUGCCUAGUAGUGGGGGAUAGCUCGGGGAAACUCGAAUUAAUACCGCAUACGACCUACGGGUGAAAGGGGGCGCAAGCUCUUGCUAUUAGAUGAGCCUAAAUCAGAUUAGCUAGUUGGUGGGGUAAAGGCCCACCAAGGCGACGAUCUGUAACUGGUCUGAGAGGAUGAUCAGUCACACCGGAACUGAGACACGGUCCGGACUCCUACGGGAGGCAGCAGUGGGGAAUAUUGGACGAUGGGGGCAACCCUGAUCCAGCCAUGCCGCGUGUGUGAAGAAGGCCUUUUGGUUGUAAAGCACUUUAAGCAGGGAGGAGAGGCUAAUGGUUAAUACCCAUUAGAUUAGACGUUACCUGCAGAAUAAGCACCGGCUAACUCUGUGCCAGCAGCCGCGGUAAUACAGAGGGUGCGAGCGUUAAUCGGAAUUACUGGGCGUAAAGCGAGUGUAGGUGGCUCAUUAAGUCACAUGUGAAAUCCCCGGGCUUAACCUGGGAACUGCAUGUGAUACUGGUGGUGCUAGAAUAUGUGAGAGGGAAGUAGAAUUCCAGGUGUAGCGGUGAAAUGCGUAGAGAUCUGGAGGAAUACCGAUGGCGAAGGCAGCUUCCUGGCAUAAUAUUGACACUGAGAUUCGAAAGCGUGGGUAGCAAACAGGAUUAGAUACCCUGGUAGUCCACGCCGUAAACGAUGUCUACUAGCCGUUGGGGUCCUUGAGACUUUAGUGGCGCAGUUAACGCGAUAAGUAGACCGCCUGGGGAGUACGGCCGCAAGGUUAAAACUCAAAUGAAUUGACGGGGGCCCGCACAAGCGGUGGAGCAUGUGGUUUAAUUCGAUGCAACGCGAAGAACCUUACCUGGUCUUGACAUAGUGAGAAUCCUGCAGAGAUGCGGGAGUGCCUUCGGGAACUCACAUACAGGUGCUGCAUGGCUGUCGUCAGCUCGUGUCGUGAGAUGUUGGGUUAAGUCCCGCAACGAGCGCAACCCUUUUCCUUAUUUGCCAGCGGGUUAAGCCGGGAACUUUAGGGAUACUGCCAGUGACAAACUGGAGGAAGGCGGGGACGACGUCAAGUCAUCAUGGCCCUUACGACCAGGGCUACACACGUGCUACAAUGGUAGGUACAGAGGGUUGCUACACAGCGAUGUGAUGCUAAUCUCAAAAAGCCUAUCGUAGUCCGGAUUGGAGUCUGCAACUCGACUCCAUGAAGUCGGAAUCGCUAGUAAUCGCGGAUCAGAAUGCCGCGGUGAAUACGUUCCCGGGCC
rnacentral:rRNA from 1 species